AUCUUGUCUGCCCAGCUUCCCGUAGCCAUCCUCGCCUGCCUUCUCGCGCUGUUUCUAGCUCUCGCCAUCCCUCGGCGUACUCUUCCUCUCCUCCGAGUCAGAGUACCCUGGAGGGAUAAUGCUCUGCAGCACUGGCUAGAACUUCCAUCCCUGUGGUGAAUAAGAGUGAUGAAAGUGGACACCAUCGUAUUAUUGAAUUGAAGGGAUGUAGAUGGAUAACAUGACCACAAGAGUUAGGCCCCGAAGCAGAUGAUUGCCUCUGGCACCCGCCGUAUGCAAUUCGAGGUGAAAUUUCCAAGAGCCAAAUGAAAUAAUUGCAACAGGGACUUUGGUACCAAUUGAGUCUUCAGGAAUUCUUAAACAAUGUGAUGUCCUGGGG
rnacentral:lncRNA from 1 species